CAGGUCAGUAAUCAUCAUUAAGCUUGUGGAAAAAAUGGAGGAAGUGGGAUAAUACCAAAAUUCAUUACUUGCAAAGCCAUGUAGAGAACAAGAGACUUAAAAGGAGACAACAGAUUCUUUUUGCAUGGAUGAAAUCAUGAGCUCCUCCCUGGGACUUUCCACAACUCCUUUGAUCAAACCUCCAAGACCACUGCCAUGAAAUGCAGCAUCUGAGCUGAUCAAACUCACUGUGAUCUGACGGCAGCUGAAAGGGCAA